UGCAUGCUUCUAAUUGAUCUAAAU
rnacentral:siRNA from 1 species